AUGGAUCCAGAGGAAAAAACACUCAUUGUUAUGUAUACCUUCUGCUCCAGCCUGGUGCAUCUGGGUUCAAAAUCCCGGUGGACUCGACGGACACAGACUGAGUUGCUGAGUGCUUCCGCAUCCGUUAUAGCGAGUAGGCGCUCCCGCCGAGUUCUCCCACCAGAACCGCGCACGACGAGUCGGCUCUUGCCGGUGCCGACGGCCCAACAGCCAUCAAAACUAAUGGAUUUGGAUGCCCAUCACCGGCAAUGA
rnacentral:rRNA from 1 species